rnacentral:rRNA from 1 species
AGAGUUUGAUCAUGGCUCAGGACGAACGCUGGCGGCGUGCUUAACACAUGCAAGUCGAACGGAAAGGCCCUUCGGGGUACUCGAGUGGCGAACGGGUGAGUAACACGUGAGUAACCUGCCCUCAGGUUGGGGAUAACUGCCGGAAACGGUGGCUAAUACCCGGUAUGACCACGGAUCGCAUGGUUUGUGGUGGAAAGUUUUUCGCCUGGGGAUGGGCUCGCGGCCUAUCAGCUUGUUGGUGGGGUGAUGGCCUACCAAGGCUUUGACGGGUAGCCGGCCUGAGAGGGCGACCGGCCACACUGGGACUGAGACACGGCCCAGACUCCUACGGGAGGCAGCAGUGGGGAAUAUUGCACAAUGGGCGCAAGCCUGAUGCAGCGACGCCGCGUGAGGGAUGACGGCCUUCGGGUUGUAAACCUCUUUCAGCACCGACGAAGCGAGAGUGACGGUAGGUGCAGAAGAAGCGCCGGCCAACUACGUGCCAGCAGCCGCGGUA